rnacentral:rRNA from 1 species
UACAGAGGUCUCGAGCGUUAGGCGGAAUCACUGGGCUUAAAGCGUGUGUAGGCGGAUCGGUAAGUACCUUGUGAAAUCCCACAGCUUAACUGUGGAACUGCUUGGUAUACUGCCAGUCUUGAGCCAGCUAGGGGCUACCGGAACAAAUGGUGGAGCGGUGAAAUGCGUAGAUAUCAUGUGGAACGCCAAUGGUGAAAACAGGUAGCUGGGGCUGUGCUGACGCUGAGACACGAAGGCCAGGGGAGCAAACGGG